AGAAUUUUCUCCUUAACUUCCAGAAGGAAAGAAUAAACAAUCCAGAAAAAGAGAAUGAACUCUUGAACAAAAACUAUGAUAAGCUGCAUAAGGAAGUUGAACAAUCUGGAUUAAAGUUACAUCACUUGGUUUUACGAAGUCAUGAAUUACAUCAAAUGAAACAAUACAGCAGCUGAGUGUAGAAUACAAAUAAAACAAUUUCCCUGCAGAGGACACUGCAUUGUCACUUCCAAACCCAACGGGUGGUCAGAGGAGUGACUGUAACUACAAAACUGUGCUGACUGAUACCCCAGAAGAUGAGCAGAACUUGAAUGUGAAGAUACUGAUUUUGCUGAAUCUGUUUGAAAAAGAUAUUCCAGAAUCAAAGAAAUACCAUUGAACAUGACAUUGGUGUAAAACCAAUACUGUGAAGUCUGCUCUAAAGUUGACAGUUCACUGAGUGAUUUGUUCAAGAAUAUACAAAAUGCUUUGGAACUCUAAGAAUGGCAUCCAAUCUGUCCCAUAAUAGGUCUUUCUACAGGGUAAGUGAUGGAAGGUUUAUCCUGUGUUUUCCCUGCUCUAAACCUCUUUUGAGCUAUCCCAGCAGCCUAGAAGUUGCAGCAUGGAGCAUCAUUGCAUGUCCCUGAGUACUUACCCUAAUUAUUAGAGUAAAUACAUAACCUUUCUAUUUGUCAGCUGUAAUUUGCUUUGAAAAGAUAUGCUGUCAAAAUUAUUUGUUUUUAUUCAAAUUCCUUCUAGAGCCAUGUUAGGCAGCCUCGUUGCUUUUUGUGCAGGCCUGUGAAAGAGCCUCUUUUUUGACUUAGCAGCAUGUUUUAAUCACAGCAGCAGAGAUUCUGGCCCUCUGGGCUUACUUGGAUAUUGUGAAAGAGUGUAAUUUUAAAUCAUGUCAGUUAAUUUCUUUAACAUAUAAAUUUUAAAUACUCCUUUAAAACCCACAUACACAAAGAUGAAGGUAGUUAGUUUAGUCUAGGGGAAUUAUCAUCUUUGCUUAUACUAUUUUACAGUAGCUUGGAAUUUAAAUAAUUUUGUGUUGCACAAACGGUAAAGAAAAAGUUGCUGUUUAAAUACUAAUAAUUGUCCAGGCUGACUUGGACCCAUCAUACACACGCAGUACAAAAAAUGCAUUAAUUGGUGUAUUUUUUACUU